rnacentral:rRNA from 1 species
AACGAACGCUGGCGGCAUGCCUAACACAUGCAAGUCGAACGAGGCCUUCGGGUCUAGUGGCGCACGGGUGCGUAACGCGUGGGAACCUGCCCUUAGGUUCGGAAUAACUCCCCGAAAGGGGUGCUAAUACCGGAUAAUGUCUUCGGACCAAAGAUUUAUCGCCUUUGGAUGGGCCCGCGUUGGAUCAGCUAGUUGGUAGGGUAAAAGCCUACCAAGGCGACGAUCCAUAGCUGGUCUGAGAGGAUGAUCAGCCACACUGGGACUGAGACACGGCCCAGACUCCUACGGGAGGCAGCAGUGGGGAAUAUUGGACAAUGGGCGAAAGCCUGAUCCAGCAAUGCCACGUGAGUGAUGAAGGCCUUAGGGUUGUAAAGCUCUUUUACCCGGGAUGAUAAUGACAGUACCGGGAGAAUAAGCUCCGGCUAACUCCGUG